rnacentral:rRNA from 1 species
UAGGGAAUCUUCCACAAUGGGACGAAAGUCUGAUGGAGCAACGCCGCGUGAGUGAAGAAGGGUUUCGGCUCGUAAAACUCUGUUGUUAAAGAAGAACAUAUCUGAGAGUAACUGUUCAGGUAUUGACGGUAUUUAACCAGAAAGCCACGGCUAACUACGUGCCCG